rnacentral:hammerhead_ribozyme from 1 species
AUCCAGCUGUUGUGUCGCAAAUAGGAUGAAACGCGUGUCCUGGAU